rnacentral:lncRNA from 1 species
GGCAAUUCAGCUUUGGUGGAAACAGUGCAGUUGUACUUUAAGACCGAAUAUGACCACACUGUGGGUUUUCUGUGUAAUAAUGUCGUUAAAGGAUCCUUCUCUCAAAGGAGGCAGGAAGCCUGCAGAGCAGACACUUUGGUUGCACAAACACUCUCAUGCAGAACUCCAGCGGUGCAGGAACCUGCUGAGGGCUAAUCGCUGCGUGAACCCAACCACUUCAGUACCUGUUUAUGGGCUCACAACAUAUCUGCACAAGAACCAACAGGUUGAGAUAGUUUUUCUCCACUGCGUUCCAUGCAGUUGUUCUGGAAAGGAAUAGCAAAGCUGUGCAAGGCUUCACGAUGAACAAACUUCUUCCUGUAAAGGCAAGACCCUGCCAAAAUAAAUAGGGACUGCAGCAAAUGGUACAGAUGGUCAUUUCUUUCAAAUAGAAUCUCAGUGUAUAUAACAUUGCUGUUAAAGCCUGGGAGAGUCAACAUACGCCACUUGUCAUGGAGGGAAAAAAGAAAUGAAAGAAGGAAACGCAUAUUUAAUUUAUUUUUUUUCAAAUAAACAAGCCAUGUCCAGGUAACCAUGUGAGGCACGGAACAAUUGCAAAGCUAUCCUGUGUAAAGACAAGCAUAUACAUUCUCGUUGGAGUUUUUGUGUCGAUAGAUACUUACACAGAGAAGCCAUCUUUGGGAGAUCCAUCACAGUGGAAGACUGCCUAAAGGAAACAGCCAGUACUGUUCAUCCUCAAGAAGCCACAAGACUGAUGAAUGUGCCUUUCCCCUGGAGUGGAAAGCCAAUAAGGCUGGUGGCUCCUGCAUUCAACAGAACUUUUUUGUAACUCAGUAGAAGCUGAAAAGGAAAUUGUGUCUCCUGUCCAAGCAAGCAUAAUCCUUUGAUGAGAAAACCUUGAUGGUAUUUUAGAAGAGGAAGAAAAUCCAUCUCUGCAGGGUCACUAGAGACUUCGGCUAUUACUAAUUGAUUCUACACGGAGAGCACACAGUGGGGACAGCCUUCAGUCUGAAGUGCAUAAAAAAAAAAAAGAAGUCUUGCUGACUCUGAAGAGGCUUGGCUGCCUUUCCUUGGUGGAUGGGAGAAACGGUGGCUGUCAUCAUGCAUUCUGGAGGCAAACUUCCUAGUUCUGCCUGUGCCAGAGCACAGGCCUUCCUUCACGCACAUAUGGCAGAAUAAUGUAGGAUGAAGAUUUAUCCCAGUACAGACUUCUUCCAUCCAGCAAGAAAUUGUACCUCAGAGAAUGGGUCUCUACAAGAUGGGAUGUAAUCAACAGAAUAUCAAGCAUUUGAGCACUACAAUUAUAUGAAGAUGAAGGAAGAUGAAGACUGUCAGUGAGAACUAACUAAAUAUCCCUUAUUCUUAGCUAGCCAUGCCACAGACAAGAUGGAUCCUGUCCUUAUUUCCUCCUGUUUGAAAGCAAACACCCUGCCUUCCCAUGCACUGGUGUAGUCUUGUGUGUCAGCAGUGGGGAGAGGAGCAGAUGCCAGGAGCCGCGUGCACAGCAAGGACAGACUGCUGCCACCUCAGACGGAAGGCACCGCGAGAGCAUGGGUUUCGAAGCAAAUAAAGGGGAGAUGCUGUUGUGGCUGCAGAGGUGAGCUAUGGACAGCUGGUGGAAGAGAAUCAGGCCCCAUGGUAAAGAGGGAAAGGACGGAGCAGCUCUCUUGUCUGCCAGAAGAUGAACAUUGCAGUGGGCAUACCAUGGGGCCAGACCACCAGCAGAGCAUUAAACAAGGACAGAUGUGAAUGCCAGGAUAAAAAUGAAGACAUUCCUGAAGUGCUUACUGAAGCUGUUGAUGAUAGUAUUUCAGAACUUACAAGUUUUCCUGACCCAGCUUUGAGCAGUUUACAGUGUCAUCAUAUUUUCCAUCUGAAAAUCUAGGCAGAAGAGCAUGUUUACAAUAGUUCCGUUAGAAAUAGCUUGAGAAAGUCUUCAGUGGGAGAAACCCAAAAGUAAGUGGGAAAUGAGUUUCUGGCUUGUACUGUUUAAUAUUUUUCCUAUUCUCAUAUUUGAAGAUCUGUUUCAAACCCUCGCUGGCAAUUAAGAUGCUGAUGUCCAAUAGAUGAACCGACUAAACGCAAAAGUUUUACUCAAAUUCUGCUGAACUUUGGAAUGAUAAGGAAAAAAGAAAAAAAGAAUUGAAAGUGAAGUCCAUAUUCAUCCCAUACUUGGGAAAACAACCAAAAUAAAACCUUGCUGUAAACUUUUCUAACAUUUGGAGUGCUUGAAAUAUGUAUCUUAAUUUGAGUCUGCAGUCAAUAUCUGGGCAAAAGAGGAAAUCUGUUGCAUCAUAAAAUUCAUAAAAGUGAUAGUAUAAGCUUGAAACAACUUAUUCAGGAGAAAAUGGUUUGCAAAAGAGGCACAAGUGAAAACAUUUAGAUUUGGCUGAAGUAGAUACAAGCUUGAUCAUUAUAUGUAUACCAUGCAAGUAAAUAGCUUGUGGGUGCGUCUAAAGCCAAUGUGAACCUUUAUGUGGAAAGCAUUGACUAUGUGGGUAUGGAAAAUAGCCCACUUAAACUAUAAUUAUACUGAAUAUGUGCAAAUAAAACCCAAAUAAAGCACCCAAGUAGAAAGCAUAUUUCUUUAACAUUUCUGUGGAUAUGUUCUAUGUUAUUCUCAUGGUUUUAGGGCAGUCGGAAUUAUACUGUAUUCAUAUUAAUAACUUGGAAGUAAACAGUAUACAAAAUAUCUUCUUAAAAUAUACAUUAAAAAAUUACAGUGGAAGAAAAAACAUGUGUAACCAAAGUUAGAUUGGAUCUAAGAGACUGUUACAAUUUCUUGAUUUAGUUUGCUGAGUAGGAGGCUCUGCUGGAAUUACCGACUCUUAAAUAAGUCAGCAAGAUAUUAUUUGAAAGACACUGGUUCAUCAAGAAGUAGUUUCAUUUCACUUAUGACUUUUUGGAAUGGCAUUGCAAUCAAUCAGCUAAGUUUCUGAGCAGUGGCCACUUGGAGUAAUAUGGCUGAAGUCAAGACGUAACUGUGUUUUGAGUGGUUGCAUUCUUGCUUCUCUCUCCUCACAUUCCUCCUGUUGCCAGUGCUUCCAUGGCAGGACAAAAUGAGACCUGGUGGAGUACAUUCUGUCAUGGCUCUGCUCUUAGUGUCUCCUGUGCUGUGGGAAUUCACAUCUGUGGAUAUGGAAGCUUCUAGCUGUCAUACAUAGUAGCCUGAAGGGACAGAAUGAAUUUGUUUGUUAGCUCUAGUAGUGUCAGGGCCUUGCUAGAAUUUACAUGAGCCUCAUCUAAUGAACUUGGUGCAAAAUUGUUGUGUAAUGGAUCAGACCUCUCAGAUGGACUUUGGAGCUGUGAUUUUCCAGGUGAUGCAUGUCUCACAUUGGAUACACACAGACUUAAAGAAAUAACGUUCUUGUGUUAACUGCAGCUCAACACUGUCAGUCACCAGUUUUAUUCUCUUUCUGCAACAAAACAAUGAUGCACUUGAAUGAUAAAAAAGGUUGACAGUGUGUCUGAGCCUGCUCUCUGUUGAGUGUGAUGACAUCUCUACCAGAACUACAUUUUCCCUUUAUGCUUUCAAAAUCUCCUUGUCUUAAUCCGUAACUUAAAAAAAUAUUUAGCACCACAUAGUGUCUAAGGAUGAACAGUACAGAUGUUUCACACUAGUAUCUAUUUGUUCUAUUUACGUUUUGUAUCAUCAGGUUAACAAAACAGCUUAAAUUGUUUACCAAGAACAAAUUCCGCAUUGGAAUCUUUGAAGUCCGGGUGUCUUCCUUAGACAAGCUCUAUGGGAACCAUUAGGUCAUGGCCUGAAGCAGUUAUUGAGCACCUCGUGAAGGGGCAUAGCCAGCCCUAGGAGCACAGGUGGAAGCAAUUCACCUGUGUGACUAGGAGGGGCGGACCCUUACCUAAUAUAAGGGCUGGCAGCCACAAGAAAAGCAUCUCUAUCUAGAGAUUACCUCCUUAGUAGUGUUUGUUGAGCUCUGGUCCUUGGAAAGGGGUAAGUGUUUCCUUCUUUACCAUCAGUUUGUGACCUUUACCUUUCUUGGAUAAUUUAAAACUUAUCUAAAGCAGCUAUAUCUGCUGUUGCCUAUCCUUACAUAAGCAUAUGGGUGGUACCUUUUCAGAGAACUGCCAAAAUGAAGGCUGGGUAAAAUUUUCUGGCCUGUCCUAAUUCAUAAGUAAAGCUAAGACUCUCCCUAAUAUUCUUUUCCUUUAGCAAUGUUUCUUAUGUUCAUCACAAAGCAAAAUGUGGGAAUCAGUGAGAAAUGAAAAAAAAAAGAAGAACUUAAAUAUGAAUUCAUGAAAAUAAUAGCUCAUAAGAAGAACCUAAAAACUCUGAGUGAGGAUGGCUGGAGCAUGACAGAAACCAGUGAGAUGUGCACAGGAGGUCAGAAAUGCAAAGCAGGUAGCUUUUAUGUUAGCUUUGUAAAUGGAGGGUGGAAAUGGUGAUCACAGUUGUAGGAGGAAAGAAUGUUUUUUUUUUUUUUUCAUUUAUUGUACUUUCUUCCUUCAAGAUAUAGAAAACAAGUGCUUAGGAGAAAAAAAAUGAAAUGUAGUUGUAACAAAAUGAUUAGGCAAGAAGGGUACUGAAUUCAGUGCAGGGAACUCCAUUCAAUUCUUUGAAGUUAUGCAGACGUCGGGUAACAGUGGUGAAUCAAACCCAAGCAGUGGUGGCUUUGUCAAUGUUGCAGUAUAACAUUUUUGUGUAUUUGGUACUGAUUCCAGAUGGCAAUUAGAUUUUGGAGCAGAGUAAGGGGGCUUCUGCUGGUCCAGCAGAAUCCACCUGAAGGAUUUUAGUGGGAACUUAAUUUUUUUUUUAAUGAACUAAGUAUGAAUUCUGGCAGCUAGAGCAACAUACCCAUAUUCUUUGCUAGUAUAAAUUGGCAAAGCUCUGAUUGAGCUAUAGCAACUCAUACCAUCUGAGAUUCUGACCAAUUAUAGUAGAUUUAUACAACAGCCACCUCAUUGUGCCAAAGACUUCAGUAUCUCAGAGGUGGUAAUACUGUUGGCAGACUCAUGGACAAGAAAAAUGAGGAAGUGAAACUGCAACUUGCAAUAAGGAAUUAUCCCAAAGGUCAGUUUUUGGAAGCAAAAGAAAUUCUUCCUUUUGGAAGGAGGUAUAAGGCAUGGCCUGUAAAAAGACCUCUUCAUCUGAACUACCUAAUUUGUUUUUGGUCUUUUUUCAAAGGCAAAAAUGCUAGUGUAAAAACUGGUAUCUUCUGUCUCUUUUGAUAUACCUUUCAUUAGUAGGAUAAGAAUGCUAUAUAUAUAGCUAUAGUAUAGUAGUGUAUUAAGCCAAUGUCUUGUGGUUCUUACCUUCUUGUUCUCCCUAGUAAGCUGUACACAGAUUUGCAGAAAGAGACUUCAAAUUUUAUUAUAUGUUUAGGGGAGAAACAAGGUUGGUGUUGGUUGUUUGUUGUUUUGGGUUUUGGUACUUGGAAGAGGAGUUGAAGAGGUGUACAGGACUUCCUGGUGUCACAGUCAUUCCUUUGAAUCUUCUGCCCAAAAAAAACCUGUCUCCUACUGGUAGUUUAGGUCUUCUGUAGCUUCUUUUGGAUAGUCAAAAAAAAAAAAAAAACUUUAAAGAAGAUGAAGGUCCAGAUGGGGAGGAAAUUUUUCAAGAUGCGUGAGAUAAGAAAGCCAUUAUGAAAACAAUCAGCUUUACAAGGAGUGUCCUAAAAGUUGGCUUCUGCCAGGCCCAAUUGCACAAAUGUGAUGGUUUUACAGACAAUAUCAUUACUGAAACUACUAGAACCAGGUGAGUAGGUAAUGCAUAAAUGAAACAGCCUUGGGACCCUAUUGCCAUUCUGGGUGCCUAAGUUCUCAGUACUUGGGAAUCUACAGUUGCCUCUGCAAUGAGUCCUCCUCUACCAUGAGAAUGGCCAGGAAUGGUACAGGUCUUGAUGGCACAAAAAUGUUUGGUACUUCUGUCAUCCCUAAGCAUCUUUAGUACUUGUAAUACCAAAUACAGGUUACUCCUACUUGAAGGAUAUUUUCAAAUAGGUAUCUUAAUACAUUCAUGCUAAAACUGUACAGUUAUUUCACCUGAAAAACAGUGGACUGAGAAUUCAGAUCUAUUCUCUGGUACUGUGAAUCUGUGUUGCAGAGAGGUUUCUUAACUACUAGGCAAGAGGGUAUUCUGGGAUUCAAGUCUCACACCAUCAACAUUUUUCACUUUACCAGCAAAAACAUUAAUGCAGACAUGUAUUCAAAGUACCUGAGCUGUGAGAAAUUAUUUAAUAACUUCUGUUGCACAAGCAGCAAAAAAUAUUCCUAAACAAACAAAAUCUAGGCUGUGCCCUGAGAUGUGCUCUCAGUUUCACAGUAUCCUGGGGCAACAUGUUCUGCGGGUUCACUGUGUGCUGCACAUUCAUUAUUUAAGUAUAGCUGUGAUAUAUACGGUCCUUCUGUAAUAAGAUGAAAUGAGCAAAAGGAUCUUGAACCUUAUGCUCACAUUGACAGCCUCCUACGCCCUGACAAUGCAUGGUAAUUAAGACUGAAGGUUUAAGCUUUUUCAUGGACUUGCAUAAGCAUUUUCCACUUUGUUUUCUAUUCCUUUAUUUAUAACUGCAAAGAUUCUCCUCAUUUCUCUACUGCUGUUGAGUACUCAGCUGACACUUUCAUUGAACUAGCCAUAAGAGCUACUAGAUCUUCUUGAGCAGUAGUAGCUGAUCUAGAAAUCAGAACUAAGUGAGAGCAGUUAGGGUUCCUUCCCCCAUGCACAUAACUUAGUAUUUGUCUUUCAUAAGCAGUCUUAUGGUGUACCAUGACGAUCAACCCUACAAAUUCUCUGGCAGAACUUCUGUAUCUAACACUAGCGUGUUUGGAAAAGAAAGAUUUUAUUACUACUUUUUUAUGUCUGUGGUGUGUUGUUCCUUAUGAUCUUUUUGGCCUGCUGUAAUAUGAGUUACCAUUUGAAAUGCUGAAGUUUAUGAUCUUUUCUAUUUUCCUCAUUGUUCCACAUAAGCUCCGCUGUUUGAGGGAUUUCUUUUUACCCCAAUUAGCUGUCUUUACUGUAUCAUAUAGUCAUGCUGCCUUUUUUGUGUGGUCCUUUAAUUCUUGGUUUCUGAGGGAUUUCUUUUGGAUACAUAAUAUAUGAUUAUUCUGAGACUUUAAUAACAUGUACAUACAUUAUAUCUGCAAUUUUUAUUUUUUUGGGUUGCUUCUUUUAAAUUCCGUUUUAACAAGAUUUCUCAUUUUUAUGUACUUCCCCUUUCUGAAGUUACAAUUUUGGCUUCUCACUCCUAUAGGAAUGUAGAUUUUAAGUGCUUUAUGGUCAGUCUUGAAGAGUGAAUGUUCAUUUUGAAGCAGGUCCCAUGCAUCAUUUAGGUCUAAAUAAAAAAAAAAAAUUGCUUCUCCCCCUUAUGGAUUAGCCUGCCAUUUGUUCCAGGAAGCAGUCAUUUAUGGUAUCUUAAACUUUAGUCUUCUGCCACAGACCUAGCUGUGCAUUUAUCCUAUAAGUAUACCUGAAAUGUUUUUGAAGGGCUUUCUGAGGAAACAGUGUACAGUAAGUGUGGCUCAGUGAAGCCACAUGGAGAGUGCUGUAUGAAGUUUUCCCUUGUGCAUGUUCUGUCUUCAUCAGGCUGCUGCAGUAGCCAUAUUCCUUUCCAAAGACAUGGGCUUUCAAAACCCUUAUCACUUGAUUUCAGUAAAAUGGAAUAGUCCAGUAGCAAUAUGUGAAUUGCUGAAUUAACAACACUCGUAGGAGUCUUAGAAACCAAAGGUAAGCUCAGAUGUCUUGGCUCAAGCUGUUUGCUUGGUGUUAUCUAACUCUUUAACUCUGCUUUGGAACUUUCAGCUUCCUGUAAAUACAAUUAUAUAUGUGUAUAUAGAUUAUAAAAGUGUGCAUGUGCUUAUAGGUGUGUGGUGUGUGUGUACAUAUAUAUCUAUACGUGUGUGUGUGUAUAUAUAUAUGUAUAUAUAAUAUAAUUUCAACACAAACUCUUCCUCCUAGUAACUCCUUUCUCCACAGCUCAGCUCCUGGAGACCCUAGGAAGGGUUUUUGGUGGAUGGCACAGCCAUUGGCCAACCUGCUCAGCUACAGCUGGGAGGUGAGGGACCACUGGUUUUGACGUCAAGUUGGCUAACCUUUAUGGUGCUGUGACUCAGCCAAUUGAAAACCAUCAAUGGCUUUGCCUAAAUUAAAAAGUAAACCAGAUAUUUUCUAUAUGUGUAGCUGGUCAACACAUCUGUACAGAUAAGAGCUCUUUUUUUCCCAGAAAAAUUAUACACCCAAAUUGCAUUUGAGGACUGGCCCUUAGCCGACAAGAUGCCCAAGGACCAGUUAUUUUUUGGCAGGAGCUCCUCCCUACUCAGUCAAUAUGUAGGUUCACUGGCAGAAGCUAGCCUUGAAACAUGUAACUUGCAAGGACUGAACAUGAGCAUGCGGUAGUUCUCUACUUGCAGUUUACACAGAAGUCUAUUCACUGUCCUGGCCUGUAAGCCAAUGGUUGGUGUCUGUUAACAAAUAAUGCCUGAGCCUCUGUGGGCUGUUUCACAUGCUGUAUAUAUGCAAUCUGUGUAUGUAUGUACCUCAUGCACUGUUUCCUGAAUUAACCCACACUAUUCUCAGAUUUCCAGGACUUUGGAGGUGAGCCUAUGAAGUACUUGAGGUAAAGAGUUCCUUUACUACCUUAAAUGGAUGAAUGUUUUCCUAACAAACAUACUAAUCAAAAUCAAAAGAAUAGUGUGUUUUAUCUUCUCUUACACUAUUCUUAUACUAAAUUUAUGACUAUGAUAUUGUGGGAAAGAAUGUUUGUAUAACAUGAUAUAGAGCAGACAUCACACAAACUAGUCUAAGCAAAACCACAGUGAUAACGUAUUACUGUUAGCAUAAAUAAGUAGUGAUUAUUAAUUUUAGCCCUAAGCAGUCAAUAUGCAUGUUCUUUGAGUGUGCUUCACUGAGAGCAGUUUUUUGAUACACAAAAAUAUUAAAUUUGCGAAUUGUUUAGAAUUAUUGCUUAGAAACUACUGCCAAAUUGCAAUUAAGCAGUUGUAAGAACACGGCAUAUCCAACUGAGCACCUGCAAAACAACAACAAAAGAUGAAAGUUUUCUGUUUUGGAUAUGUUUGAAGCUGUAGGGGUACCAGUUCUGUAUAAACUCUCCUGUAUGAAAUGACUAUAAUGGAUAACGCACUGCUUGAACAGAGCUUUUCUAAAACUUGUAUACUCCUAAGAGUAGAGAAUCAGACCUGGGGAUCUAACUUUUUUUUUCUAUAGCAGCCCCAAUCUAACUAGUGGUAUAGAACUGUGAGCUCAUGGUUUCUUAGCAGUGACUUUGGAUUUCUGUGCUGAAAUAAGCCUUGAAACAGGCUGUGUAAUUUUUUUUUAAUGGGAAUUAUAGAUACUACAGGUCCAAGGGACAAUAGCUUCCAGCAUAGGCAUAAUUUGAAAACUGGUAGAUGAGUUUGUUUGGAAUUCAUAGUUUCAUUUCACUUGAUCUGCUCAUACAUACACACCAAAAUGUCUAGUGAAGUUUAGAGACUUAAACUGUACUAAAGAUAUAGAAAACUAUCUGAAAACUAUCAAAAUUAUAUAUAAUAAGCAGAGAAACAUUUUCUACUAUACCAUGUACCUUGGAACAAAGUAUUUAAAAAAACCAUAAAAAUAGAACUUCAGUGGGUUGCCAUGUAAAACAUAUUUAUCUGGUAUUCAUACUAUCACAUCCUAUUUAAAUGACUGUCAGGACUUAUAUAUGGGUGAAAUUAUUGGUAACUUGAUUGUUAUUUAACAACUGAGUGAGUCAUAACAAUCAAACUUUAUUAUUUUGUCACUUUAAAGCACAAAUCCUGCUUAUUACAAUUAAAAUGCAGAUAAUUUUCCUGAGGUAUGUGCCAACAUAUGGGUAUUAGUUACAUCCCAGUUGAUUCCAUCCGAGUUAGGAUUCCAUUAAGAGUGACACUUACAUCUGAUGCUCAUGUUUACUUCCCAGUCACAGUCCUCAGUGUUCAGAUGAGAAUUAACACAGGUAGAAAAACUGACUAGCAAAAACAGUUGCCUGUGACUGUGCUUUACUUUCAGGUCAGCAUCCAACUCGCAGAUCCUCUUUGCUGCAUUUGUGCACUAAGAGGAAACUGGUCAUCAGGCUUAAAGUUUACCCUCACAGACAGAGGUCUGAACACCAGAAACAUGCAAGAAGCCAGUGGUAGGAGUCAGAAUGUGAGCACCCUGAAACACUGGAUCCUGCUCCUAGAUGGUCCACAAGUGAGCAGAGCAUCAGCACAUAUGGUUGGAGCACUUGCAUUUUCUUUAUGAAAACAGUGUGUUGUCCACUGACUUCUACACAUCCUUCAGUGGGAUUUUCAAGGGCUCUGAGGAGUGAGCAGGCUCCACAUCUCGCUAAUGUGAGCAGAAGAACAUGCCAGGAGACAUACAAGUGUCAUUCUUUGCACCAUCUUAACAUCUGCGGCACUCACUGAGCCAAGAGUUGUGUGCGUUGCAGCAGAAGACUGAAUUGUGGUCUGCCAGUGGUGCAGUAUCUCUGGCUUAGGCACACUCAGUUGCAAAAACUAGCAAUGUUCAAGCUGUUUGACUUUGGCAUAGCAUUAACAAAGAUAGAGAUGCCAAUAGCUGUAGAGAAAGGGGUGAGAAUUAUGAUUUAGGUCAGUAAAAUAAACACUGUUACCGUGGCAGGCUAAUCUCAUCCAAGAAACUCUUUGCUUGUUAUUUUUGUAACUAUCGGAAAAAAUGCCAGCAGUUCUGUCUACAGAGCUCACAGUCCACUUCUUUUCUGAAGUCACUCAGCAAAAGGAGAGAGAGGACAUUCCCUCACAUCAUUUGAAUAACUUUAUUUUUUCCAUCUGUAAUCUUUUCCUCUUCAGUAGAAAUGAGGGUGGUUCCAAUGCCUCCCUGAAGGUAUGGUAUCUUCUUGCGAAGCUCCCUGAGAACCAGGAACAAGGAGCUGUCACAGCAGCAAGGUUAGCAUCAGCACCAGAAUAGCAGAGCUGGGUCAUUAGAGAUCUGUGUAGAAAUCUGUAAUCCCUAAGGAGUACUGAGCAUCCUGAGCUUCUGAUUCACCCUUUGCAGGAUUAGUCUGAUAAUAUUUUUAAUGGGUAUCCAUUCUAUUGCAAUGUAUAGGAGUGCAGUGACCCUGAAAUGUCACCAUCUAACAUUACAUUAAUUCACUCCUAAUGAAACUAAAGAGGGCUUAGAGAGGUUUGUGACCAAAGGCUGUUCGCUAGAAUUGCACCUUUCAUUAACUGACUUUGGAAAGAUGAAAAAUGAACAUUCUGAAAUAUUUUGAUAUUGGAUACACUGACUUUUUUUUUGAGGGCAGUAAAUCCCUCUGGUUCAGACCCUAAACAGGGGCUUCUGAUGAUUAGGGUAUAAAAUGAACUGUGAAAUCCUAUAUGCCUAAUAUCCCUUCCUAAUGCAAAUCAAAUUUGCUACUCUGCCAAGUAGUUUGAUCCUGUAGAGCAUGGAAACAAGGUAGUAUGCAAGCAAGAUCUUACAUUCAAAAGAUGAAAUGUUGGCAGUUCUUCAGAAUGACCCUUUAAUGCUGGACACCCAUGUAUAAAGAUGAAUAAUACAAAAUCAAAGCUUACAAUAGUCUCAUUGUGCUCAAAGGGCAAAAGGAAAAUGUAUCAGUCAUCAGGAUGUGCCAAAGAGUAGGACUAAGAUGCACCUUUUAUUUUUGGACUGACUUUUAGAUACAAGUCUUGGCUAAAACUUGGACGUCCAAAUCUUGGAGUGAAGGAACUUAUCACAGAAAACUACCACCACAAUAUGCCAGGUAGUCUAUAACAGGAGCAGUCUCUAGGAGAUAAAAAAACAUCUUUUUUUUUUUUGGAGAGGUACUGAAGUUCUACUUAUGGGCAUUUACAUAACUCAUGUACUCCCUAUGCAUAGUUAGUGAGUGGAACCAUCUUCCUGCAGCUCUACUCUACUACUUAGUUAUCUACAGGGGAAAGAAAAAAAGAAAAAAGCUCAGUACAAUAUGAAGUUAUUACUGAAUGUGUUUCUUAGCAUGUAAAAAAUAUUGAAUUAACAUUAAAACCCUUUUACCCACUUUGUAAUAUUUGUAUGUAAAUUGUUACAAGUGCAUGAUAUGUUAAAUCCAUAAUUGUCAUAUUUUGCUGAAGACUGCGUAGAAUCAGUGAGGAUUUUCUUUUGUCUAAUAUUGGAGAGGUGGUUCAUGUUGGUGACAUGAAGAAAAUAUAAAAAAGCAGUUUAUCCAUGUAAACAUAUAGCCCUCAGACUCUUGCCAAGGACAGCAAGACCUAUUUUUAUCUGGUGAAUGAGUCCUGGUCCCAUAUGCUAAGAGUUGCUUUGGGAAGCUAUACGUUACAUAUCUAACUUCUCCUAAUUAAAUUUAAAUGCUACCUGAAAUUUGAUGCAAAGUAAACCAUAAUUUAGUGAUUAAAACUUUGGUAUACUGACUGGUUAUGACAACCAGAAAGGACUGCUAAGAGAUUAGGAAAAAGGGGGAGGGGAUAGAGUUUAAUCAGAACAAACACUAGCAAGAAACACAAUUUUAAUGGUUUUACAAAAUCAAUUUUCCAGUAAUAGUGAUAUGUUAUUUCAAAAUUAUUUUAAAGGAUGGGAGAAAGUUUAACCAUGUGACUUUAUCUUUUUCAGUGGUCUUUCUUAUUUGAUAUUGCAGGGAUUGGAUUUCACUGGGACACAUCCCAUUUCCACUGUAAUUUGUAAACUAAUGUUUCGUUUCUUCAGAAGGUAUGUUCCCAAACAAGUGCUUGCCAGCGUUAAGAAGUUGCCUCUUGUCCAAUUGUUUUCCAAUUGUUUGAUGGUAUUAAUGGGAGCAAAAAGAACAUUCAAGAUACCUUCUUGGUACUUCUCUGUAUUUGGGGUAGUUGCUAAGAGAAUGCCCUCACAGCUGAGAGAAAAAUCUAUUUGCAUCCCAUUCUGAAUGGCAGGGUUGUAACUUGGAGAGGUGGCCCAGAGUUAGAAAAUACUCAUCAUGAUACUGCCCAUAUUCAUGAGCAGAGGUGAACAACUACUUUUUAAGCACACCUAAAAAUAAACCUUGCUUUCUGACAAAGACAGUCAUUGAUUGCUCCAUGAGCUGAAAAAGGUUUUUUGAGUGACUCCUUGCUUCAUUUCUACUCGGCUGUAAAUUGGAUUUGCUCGUUGAUUUUCUUUUCUUUUUUGUUGUUUAUUUAUUUUGUGGGGUUUUUUUGGUUGUUUAGUUUUGUAAAGGGGAAGUAUGGGAGAAAAUGUAUGUUUGGCCUGUAUGUCUCAGCUGAUGUGUAAUCUCCAUUAGCUGUUUUUGCUGGGAUGGAGCUUUGGCACAAAGGGCGUAACCUCAUGGACUCUGCUUAUGCCUAGUCAUUCCAGGACCAGUUGACUGCCAGUUUUCCAAAAGAAAUGAGGAAAUAGUUGUCUAUAAAUACAUUCCUCCUUUAUUUUGUGAGUUAUUUACAAACCUGACUUAUUUUCUUAGGUAUUUCUGCAAAAAUAUGAGACAACUCUUUGUCAGUAGGUUGUCUGUAAGUAAUCCACUGCUAGUGAUCCAAAAUUAAAAUUGACUAGGUAAGAGCAAUUCUCAGGAUAAUCUUUCUGAUAAAAAGUCCUUCAAGUUAGAAAUUUAGGAAACGAUCUCUGAUAAUAUCUUUCAAAAUUUGCUUAACAUAAGCAGAUUUUAUGAGCUGGCUUUUCUGAGAACACAAAUAGUUUGAACAGAAUCAUAGCAGAAGAGUUUAAAAUCAUGAGCAAGUAUUCAUAGAACACUUUUAUUUUUUCUUGGGGCAGUUGCCUGGUCUUGCUUUCCUAGGUGGUGGUUAACUGUCCAUCCUCACCAAGAAACAGUACUGGAAACCUGCUGAUUCUCUUUUCACAGUUCUUGGAUAUGCAAUUUCACACAUAGAAAAGAAAAAUUGUGUGAAAUGUUGUAACUGACAUUGUCAGUCAGCAGGAAACCUGAAAAGAGAUAUUGAGAUUGAGCUGUGAAAAGUGACAGUAGUGGAGCAGUACAUUUUUAUGUGAUAGAUAGAGCUGUAGGGCGCAGGUCAUUGCAGCUUGCAAGGGGCAAUCUUUGUGUUACUGAUAUCCCCAAGGCUGCAAAGGCUGAGUGCCAUGCUUGGAGAGCUGACGGGCAAUUUGCUAAUAUAGCAAUCUGAACACAAGAAGAACCAGCAUAAAUGGGAGGGGCAAAAAACCACACAGAGUAUAUGUAUUAUACAGAUGUAUUGUACCCUUUUUUGCUUAUUCAAGUAGCAUACAGUGGAUAUUUGAAAAAAAAAAAAAUGUUGUACACAAAUCUAGGAAGUCACAAAGAUUUUUAAAUUGGAAAGUUUUACUUCUGAAAACUAACACUGUCUUAUGUUAAAUCACUCUUGUUUGAUCAAUAGCACUGCACAAAUUCUACAUCUGCAUACUUUCUCAGGUUUUUUGCAUGCACUAGACAGUAACUGUUAAAAACUGAAAGGGCUAGAAAGUACCUUCUCCCAAGUACCUUCCCAUUUCAGGAGCAGCACUUAGAGAGCUUUUUGUUUCCUUUGUUGUUCUGUAGCUUUCUAAGUCUGAGGUAUGAGGUGUACCUUUCCUAAAUAUUUCUCUCUGAAUGUGUGACUCAAAGUUUGUAUAAAAAGAAAAUCAUAAUAAUGGUAACAGUGAAUAAAAAAUAAAAUCAUGUUCAGCUUUAAUGUGCAAUUCAAAUGAAAUCAUGUUGAUUUUGUUUGAUUUCUCUUUGCAUCUUUUCAUGUUUGAAAAGAUGUUCAUGUUUCACAUUUGAUAUAUGUCCCAUUUUGUCACCAUUAGAAUAAAAUAUUUUGAUUUUUUUCCUUUUCAAAUUAUUUUUCAUUUUGAAUAUUUUGAACUCUAGUAUGUAAUAGAUGAUUACAUUGCAAACACAUUAUGUUGCACUUAAAACUCGAGUCAGUGUGCAGUAUUCCUGCCAUUUUCCUUUACAAAGAAUUUAGAUAUUUUCUGAUUGGAAAUGAAGACAAAUUUGGAAACUUCAGGAACAGUUGGGGAAGGAAAAAAAAAAUUGUCUGUUUUACUGUCCAGACUUGUCUGGACCACUUCCACAGAUGGUGAUGCCAAGUGGUUCAUCAACCUCUUGCUCUGAAAGUAUUGUUUCUACACUGCACUUCAGUCUAUGACUUAUGUUAUUCCUGGCAUUGUGCACUUCAAUUUCUCCCAUGCUGAAUCUUUUAUAUUAGUAUAGAAUUAAGAUAAUAAGAAUAAUUGCUCCUUUUUAAUAACACUUCAUGUGUUUAUGAACAGUCAUAUGCACAAGGAUUAUUUUCCAAAUCAUUGCUCAUUUUUGUUGUUCUCUUCUGAGUUCUCCAAUUAGUAUGUAUUUCUUUUUUUAUUGUGGUGUUCGUAACAGCAUGCAGUGCUCCAACUGAGGCUUAUCAAGUGAAGUAGAGCAGAAUAAUUACUUCAUUUCUUUUAUGCGUGACAUUCUUAUUAAUGUGACUCAAUACAGAGCAUUUGCCUUGUUUUGCCACAGUGUUGCAUUGUUGAUUCGUAUUCAAAUAAUUAGUCACUGUAAAUCCACAUGCUGCUCUGCUGUGUAACUCUGUGCUCUAGGAUGGGAUAUCCCACAGCUGUCAACAGGAGCACCCAGGAGCUGCAGUGAGGGUGUUGGACACUGUACAAAAGAGGGGCAGGUAAAUGACUUUUCUUAACCAGACUGCUAAGCUCCAUACUCAUUUGUGAUUACUGGUUUACAGUAUUAUAAGUAUAUUCCAGUUGUAAGUGAUUUCAGACUGCUGUCUCCAGUGUAUAAUACCUCAUCAUUUGUCAUGUUCCUUUUUCAAAAAUGAGGAUUCGCCCAUUCUUUCCACUUACUUAUUCUCCAGAAGAUGUAGUAACUUUUUUUAUAAUGAAAACUACUUGUUUUUCUAAAAAUCUUUCUGAUAACUUCAGUGAGAUCUGUACACUUGGGGUUGUUUUGCUAUUUAAAGAUACUCAGAAAUAGAUCAGACUUACUCCCCCCCCCCCCCCCCAAAAAAAAAAAAUUGUCUAAAAAUUGAAUCUGUGAGUAGCAUAUCAAAUUUGGAUGCUUAUACCUAAAGGAUCUCCAUUUCUUCCUGCCUUCUCUUCUGAGAAGAGUUGAAGUACUUACAGUGCUGUUUGAACCCAGGACAUAGAGCUUGGAAAAAAAAUGCAAGCCAUUGUGUCAUAGAAUUUUUAUCUGGCAAUAUUACAAGCCAGAAUUUUCAAGCUGAUUUGAAGAAAAACAAGGUGAAAAGUCUAUUGGGUCACACUUGAAAAUGUUAAGUAUUUUAGAGUCGUUUCAAAAUCCUGGAAAUUAAGUACUUCACAUCUACAAAGUUAACUGGUUUACUAAGUAUAAUGUCAUUUAUACAGUUUGCAAAGUCUGAAUACACAUACAAUAGUAAGAAAACUGUACCAAAGCCAUGUUAAAAGAAUUUGAUGUGUGGCAGAUUUGAGUUAGUAGGUACAAUGUGUUCUAUGAUUGGAAAGAAAAAUGGCAGACACACUUUCAAUGUGUUAGAAAGUAGAUGAAGACUCCUCUGAGACCAUGAAUCCCAAUGGAAACACUGCUGAUCUAAAGAUCAUAGAAAGAUAGAACCAGGUCACAUGCUGAUGCAAAUGAGCAUAGUUUUCUUGACAUUGGUGGACCUACAGUGAUUGAUUCCAGAUGAAGUGAUGAGAUGAUUCGGAUGUGCUAUGCCCUCCUGAAAGGCUGUUGAGAGAUGCUGAGAUCAGUGCUGGGAUUGCCUCACCAGAGGAAAAUAUGCAGAGUAACAAUCUCUCCUUUAAAAAAAUGUGAGAAGGAAGAAAGUAAUAGUAUCUCUCCCAGUGUUGAUGGAAAAAGUAGGCUUUGGUGGAAAGAAAAAUAGUUCAGUAGUCAAGAUUUUGGAAGGAAGGCAGUAAAGACUUUUCCUAAGGAAAAGAGAGCACCAGAAAGCUUUAGAUGUUCCCUGUUCUCACCAUCUUCAGAACAGCUCUGUGUGUAUUUACCCUUACUCUUCUUUAGGUGGUCACUGAGGUUUGACUCAUUGAGUACUCCAGUGUGUUGGCCUGGGAGCAGGAGAAAGGAUGGAGGAUCUAAAGGCAUCCUGGUUACAGCAGCAGCAUGACUGAAUCAGCUUUAAUGACUGGCUGAAGCUAGCACUGUAUCUAUGCAUCCAGCGUGGGCUGCAACAAGAGUGACAAUUCAGGCAGAAGCUGGUUUGGGCUGAGUUUUAUGGUGUUGUGGCUAGCAAAGUAGCUAAGCUAGCUCACCAAUGCUCUCCCAAGUUAUUUUUUGUCUUAACAAUACAGGUAGGCCCAAGCAUGAUACCCUUCAGUGGUUCAAGAACUAUCUAAAAUAUUUAAACAUUUUGAGAUGUUCUUCUUCUGGAAGUGAAAGUAAAAAGAAGACUGGCUCUGGAAGCCUCGCAACAUUUGAAGUAAAUCACUCCUUAUGGCAGUAUCAAAAUCCGAAGAUGCAGGGAUUUUGAAGACUUAUCUAUGGAUUCAAUAAAAUCUAAAAGCAGAUGUUUAGUAACGUAUUUUUCCUAGAUCAUCAGUAGCAGUAUUUAGAGGCAUUGCAGAGCUUUGACCAUUGAAUUCCUCAUAGCGAGCUGCAACCUGCUGUAAGUACUGUUCUUGCAUUUGUCUAUCAAAAGAGAAAAUAUAAGACUAUUUUCAUUUCAUACAAGACUAUUAAUAUUGAAACCAUUGACUAGUAGACUACUCAAUUAAGGAUAUAUUAACUAGGAUACUUUAUCUCACUCUUAUUUUCAAGAGUCAACAAUCCAAGUACAAGGAGACUAAUGACUAAAAAUUCAGCCUCUUCUGAACAACUGAUGGAGUUCUGUUCCUGAGCUACCUCCUCCUCGAUUCAUUCAGCAUGAAUGGCAGAUUCCUAUAUCGUGUCAAGUUUCAGAUCACCAUAGAAACAAACUAGGAGGCAGUUUCAUUAAUCAUUUAGAGCACAAGAAGUCUAGGUCAGUCUGAUUGCAGCAUAUAGAGUAUCAUCCUAGCGCCACAUGGGACUCAGUUGAUUUGAAUUAAAAAAGAUUAAGCUGCCCCUAGGACGCUCAGCAUCAUCAGUUUAAGUUCUCAUGUAACAGUGGUCUCUGGAGCCACAUGGAUUAGGAGACUGAAGCUAUGCAUUUAUUUUUCAGGGCUCAGUGAAACAUUAGAUGAGUGCAGGUGUCUGAGGGGAAAAAAGGACAAAGAUCACAUAUAGUUUUUUAGACUUGUUGCUGUUCUUUUGAAACUGGAAACAAUAACUCAGUUUUAUUUCUCCAGUGACAGUUACCACUCUUUUUUGGCAAUGCAGUGGUACAUCUGUUACCCAAUGUUUACAACUUAGAUUUAUAACAAUUUCAUACUAGGCACCCUAAUUUUAGUGCAGAGCUGCAAGUUGGGCAUAGAACAGUUUACAUGAAUGCUGACUAUUUUUUUCAUGAUGGAGUAAAAAAUGCACAAAAUAAAUACUGGUGACACUUUAGUUUUACUUGAAUGAAGAUUUAUUGCUCCCAGGAAACUUACUUACAGGCAGCUACAAAUCAACUUGACUAUGAAAUAGCUGUAUAUGUACACCACAAAAUGAGCCCCCCCCUCCCAAAGUACUCACCUUAUUUAUGGGUCUUUCCAGUACUUCAAAGACCUUUAGUAACUUAGUCCAGACUGGUUUAUUGCUUCUUAGAACUAAGACGUUUCAAGAGGAAAGUCGUAGGUUACAGUGUAUUAGGACUCUCUCUUGGGCGGCUGAGAAUCCCAUGAUGCUAUAUGAACUGUUGAUCUAAAGCUUAUUAUAGCCUCACUUCCUACAGUAUAAUUCUUAAAUCUUUUAAGUUAUACAGUGCUGUCUUUAAUCCUGAGCACUAAACCUUAAAGCAGAACUAGUUUUCUAAUAACCAGAGUACCAUCUGUGAGUAGAUAUAAUUAUGCUUUGUAAAAAUACAGUUCACUUGCUUGCACAGGUGGUCCACGACCUAUUUCAAAUUAUUUGAAUUUUCAAAAAAUGUUUUACAUAGAAAAAUCUGGGAGCGAAAUCCACUGUCCCAGUAUUCUUUGUGGAGGAAAAAAAUGUAUGUGGGUAGAUGUAUUCCACUUUACUCAAGAACCAGAACACCUCACCCUUUGUGUUUUUCCAAUUUGCCCUUUCUGUGCGAGUUAUCUGGGCUUUGAUAGUAUCAGUGUAUCAGUGGUGAAGUCUCCUGUUAUGUAACACAUCUAUGGACAUGGAAAUAUAGUAAAUACUUUUUUUUUUCCCCCCUGAUAUGUUGUCAUUUUUAAACGUGUUAUUCUAGGGAUUUCCGGGGAAGAAAUAACAUUAUGCUCUGGAAGUAUUUUUAGAUUUUUCUAGCACUGUGCAAACUGACUGAUUAUUCCCCUGGAAAGGGGAAAGUGAGUAUUAUCCCCACUUUGCACGAGCGGAAAUUGAUAUGGAGUCACACUAAGCAACUUGCCUCAGGCCAUGAAGGUAAACAGGGACCAACACUGUGGUGCUCCCAUUCUCCUGCCCCGUGCCCUGCCCAGGCCCUGCUAUUUACAGCUUGCUGUCAAAUGCCCUUAAGGAAAUGCAGAAUACAGGAAUUAAAGCAAACACAUAACAUUUUCUGCCUCCCAUCAGGGCUUUGUGUUAUCUAGUAUUUAUUGAGUGUCAGCAUUAUGCUGGUUGCUACACAAACAUAAAAGAAAGCGUGGUCCCUAUGCCAGAAUGUAUGUACGUUCUACUUUGUGUUGUCACCCAGAUGUUUCCAACCAGGCUGCCUAGCUUUGCUGUCCCUUUCUGGUGCAUGAGAGAGCUGAACUCACUAGUGCCAGGGGGGUAGCUGUGGCAGACAACCAGCAAUGGUGAGGGGGUCCAGGCUGUGCAUUUGCUGAGUUCCUGCAAACCACCUGGAUGAGUGACUGUCACCACACCCACAGGGAACUGGUCUUUGUAAAAAGAGCCAUGGGGCUGAAAAGCAGGGAAUGACUUCUUUGAGCUGAAUACAUGUCCUCACCCUCCUGGGGAGCAUGGGCAGACCUGUGAAGCCCCAUUUUUCUCCCAGGCUCCUUCCACCUGGAGGAGGAUGCAGUGAGUCUGCAAUGAUACACAAGUCCAUGUGGGAUCCCUGAUCUCUUCUGCUGCUCAAAGCCACAAGGGAGGAGAUAUCUUCUGCGUAGCCUGUUUCCAACAGGUGAUGUGCAUUUGGGCAGCCGUCAUGUCAUGCCUGGAAUGUGAUGAAAACAAGAGGUCCUGACUGCUCACUACUGAGGAGCUCCCAGAGCACUUCUCACAGGAGCAGGGGUGUUAACCCUGAUAUCCUGGUCAAAUUCCAACAAGGCUAAUUAUAUCCCACUUACCUAAAACUCUGCCAUGCUUUCCCUGCUUGCUGCAAGGUCUUGCUAUGUGAAACAGGCUCUCUUCUGAUCUUAUUAAACACUAUGGUCUUCCGCAUCAGAUGGGGAUAUAUUUAGGGGACUGCUAAAGUUAGGUCUCAGGUUGAUAUAUUUCUUGUCCAGCGCAGUAAUGCUGGACGUAAACCGACAUUGUUUGCAGAAAGAAGAGUCUGCAUUGCAAGUGUAGUUAAGAACAGCCACUUGCAAGCAAUGGUAAUGGCCAUAGUAACAGUAUCCAUUGAGUUCCUGUAUCCGGCCUUCUGCCUGAUGGAGAUUAAGAUCAGUGUGGGUGGGGGCUGAACACUGAACAAAAGUGUGGGGGAAGAGUGGCACAGGUGACUGUUCCCUGGCGGUGAGAUCAAGGUGCCCAAGGGGGAGGCAGAAGGGGCUGUGCUUCUUUCUGAGUCUGCUUCAAGUGCACUACACUAUAUUGAGGAUGCUUGUGACAGUGUAGCCAUUGAAGACCCUAUAGUAUGUGAAUUUCCUGAAGAUCUCAGGCCUAUGAAGUGGUACUAAGAGAUUAUUUUAGCUUUGCAAAGGUGCUGUGAUAUCAAGCAACGGGGAAAAAAAUAUGUGUUUAUAGUUUUGACUAAAGAGUAAAUUAUCAAAGAUGACAUUGAAGUUGCCAUAUUGCAUCUUAUUAUUUGUUUUUAAAGACUGUAGAUGUGGUGUGUAAUGCUGCUGAAAUGGCCACAUGAUAAUCCCAGUGAGGCUUUUUGCUUCUUGUUUAGAAAUAAAUAUUUCCAGGAGGAAAACGAAUCAUGUAAAUGCACCUCUUCCCCUUUAUCUACUGGAAUCUCAUCUAUCUCAUUAUCUUUUCGGUACAAGCUGCCACCAAAAUAUCUUCGAAAUGAACAGAUGUUACAGGUUUAGCUGGAAUUGCCCAAAGCAGAUGUAAGAGUGGAUACCAUUCUUACUGUUGUUUCUUAUCUCUUUGCCUGCAAAUCAAAGUUGCAUCUUUGUCUGCAAAGGUUCCUGUUGAUAUGUGAGUCAGCAAAGCCAUCUCCUUAUAGCUCACCUUGUAUGGCAGAGCCCUACAUUCACAGAUUUUCUUCUCCAUGAUACACAUGCAUGCGUAUGCACGCAAACACACACACACACACAUACACAUAUGUGUUUACACACAUAUUGUUAAGUUGUUGGUAGCACAGCGGUGCUGUUACCUAGUAGAAUUAUUUCAGAUUGCUUCAAAUUUUUAGUUGAAUAGAUGACAGUAGGAUAUGUAUUAGAUAAAUUAAAUGUGUUGGUGUUCACACAAGUAUAUGCACUUGAAGCUAUUUUUGUUUUUUGAAGACAGGUGCCUUUAGCACAACUAGCAACCUUCAAAAAUGUGAAUAAGGGCACAGAGUCUUAAAAGCCUCUUCCUGUCUACUGUGUCUCCCCAGACAGGCUGAGGCCACAUUAAUGGAAAAAGCACAAAGUGAACAAGAUGACCUAACAGAUGCUACCAGGAUGUACUGUACUUUUCCUAAGAUAAAUAAAGCCUGUCAUUUUCAGCAGUAUCAGCAAACCCCACAUAUUCUUUACAGUGUAAUAAAAUAUAGCAUUAUAGUGUUCCAAAUUGCUUUGUAAGUCCAUAUUCUUUUAACUAUUAUUGGUUCUCCUUAUUCUGUUUAACAUACUUAAAUAUUAAUUACAUGAGUAUGGCAUAAAAUAUCCAUCAAUCUAGCUCAUUUUCACUGUCUUAAAUGGGAGCUUAGAGUAAAAAAAAAAAACAGCAUAUAAAGUAAACUCUGAACUAUUGCAAUUUAGAACCUCAGAUUUCAGACUUAUAAGCUGCUUUUAUUCAGCAGCAAAAUUACUCCAAAUGACUUUGAGUUUCUGUAAAAAAAAAGAAAAGAAAAAAAAAAAGAAAAAAACUGCAGCAACACUAAGGCACUCAAUUUCUGCAAGGACUCACAGAUUUAUCAUCUCAGAACUAUAAAAGAGCUGGGGAAAAGAAACUCUCCCUUCACUAAAGAUGAAUUUGUAUUUCUUUUUUUACUGUAGAUAGGUUUGUACAUCAGAUGAAUGAAUCUUAAAAUUUCUCUGAGGAGAGAAAGAUUUCUCUCAGGUUAACAGAUGCCACACCAGUUUGCUCAGACAUGUGCAGCACACAAAUUCUGGACAAAAUUUCUGACUAUUCUUGUUCCAGCAGAGCCAGUUUGCAGUUUCUCAAACCAAUCAGCAAAGCAGAAUUUUCCUACCCCUAGAGAUAGGUUUUGUUUUGAAAGAAAUCAUUCUUGCAAUGGAAGAUGGCUUUGCACCCAUCUUCCCUGCCUCUAUCUAGCCUUUCUGUCCUUGAAACCUUGUCCUUUCCACAGAAGCACAGAGCUAGUUGUAUAAACUGGCAGCUCAUAUCUAUCUCUGUGUCCACAUGGAAGUAGGUCAUUUUUUGCUUUUUCUUAAAGACUGUUGCUUUCAGCAGCAUUAUUUUUUUUACAAUCAGUAUAGUGCUGCCUCCAGCACCUUGUUUCUGGGAGUGACAAGCUGCCCUAAGCCUAAUAAAUGCUCAUAAUGAGUGGUUAUAGAAAAGUAGUUUCAAACAGGAGGUUCUUUCCAUAGCAAAGACUCAGCUCUGCAGCGUGUCCUGCACAGCCUGAGCUAUCCCAUAAUACUUGGACCAUCAUUAAGCCACUGAAUGUUACAAAGGACUGUUAGCCAGAGGAGCUCAUUGUUUCAUAUGAGUGCUUUUAUAUCAUUUUUUUUUUCCUGUCUAACAUAAUUGUGUUAUUAUUCUUAUGUAUUUCUAAUCCUAUUUGAAUCCUGUUCUGCUCUUGAUCAUUCCUGAUCUCACCUGGAAAAUGGGUAAUUGUCACUGUUUGUCUUACUAGCAAGAUAUUUAUCUAGGCUUUUCCAAUUAUCUGCUGAUAUUUCCCUUAUGUAAUGGGAAACAUGAAGUCAUCUGAUACCAAAGUUUGAGUAAAUCUAGUUCAUGUUGAAAUUGCCUCAAAUGGUACCAGUGACAAAAUCAAGAUCAUAGCAUGCAAUAUUCUGCUGAGAGUUUAAAACAGCAAUUUUGAAGAAGACAUCUACAUCCCAAGUUCUGGGUCAAGAAAUAGAGCUAUGUAUAUGCCAUUUGAAGCAUGAACCUCCACAGUGCAUUACGAUUCUUCCAUCUUGAUACAGGAUGCUACCUGAGCUGUUCUACUGUAUCAGAUGAAAAUCAAUAAGGAAUUGCAGAUCUAUAAAAGUAGACAUCUGAGUGGUAUAGAAGACUAUAACAUGGAACAUGGAUUCAUUUUCAGUUUUGUCAUGUUUCUCUUCUGUACUUCCAUAAUCAGAAAUGCAUUACUUCAACAGAAUGCUUAAAAAUUCAUACAUGUGACAUAAUGCUUCACUGAACUUUAAGAUGUCAGUUUGGAAAAAGAAAGAUGGAAAAUUUGGACUUCAUAUUUUAAACAGUUUCCUUACAAUAAACUUUUCUGGUCUGCUGAGUCUUGUCCCAAGUGGAAUUGGUGAGAUACAUCCUCAAGAGGACAGUUAGACUGUUGAAAACACUUGGAAAUAUCUCUUGGCUAUGUCUUAUUUAUAGAAGUCAACUGAGAGACAUGUGGUGUUCUGUCGUAUUGCUCUUCCAAGAGCCUCAUAUUUAUUAUUCUCAGUUGGCAAAAGUGUCCUUGUUUGAAGUUGUACAAGUUAAUCUCUGCCAGUUUAGCCCAAGAACACAAGAUCACUUUCAAACUGCUUUUCCAUAUUCCCGCUUUUAAAACAUCACAUUCAUCACGUGAUAUGUCUUCUUUUCUGUAGAUGUGUGACGUGCAAAGCAAUUUAAUGCAGCACAUAGCAUCUAUGACAUCAGAACCAUUCCCUGCCAGCACUUUAACAAGAUUCCAUUUUGCAUGUCCAGCUUCAGGACUUUCCGAGGGCUCUGUUGCUUUAAGAUACAGAAGACUGGUUCAGACCUUCACAAGAAGCUGUCAGCAGAGUUUGCAAUGUCCUGCAAGCCUUGAAUUGCAUGUAGGAUUUUGUAUUGGCUCAGUAUUACUUACAGUGUUUUGCUGUUUGUGAUUAGGUUUGCAGGAAGGCUGACUGCGGAGUUCUGAUCUGGAUUUCUCCAAAGUGUUUGGGUCUGUUCUGGGCUGCAGCAUGCUGUAGUCAGCAUUUGUUCAUAUCAACAUCUGUAAAACAUUUGGCAUUACUUGAAAAUAUUAGUCACAAUUGUAAAACUAAUAAAAAUCCUUCUUUCUUAUUUUAACUAUAAGGUGGUCAUAUAUGCUGGGCACUCAUCAUUGAUUUAGAUGUUAUCUCUCUGCUAGUAACAUUUUUGCUGUGCUUGCUCCAAAGGCUGCAUUUUUGAUCUGGGAGCAAUUCUCAGCUAAGAAAAUUCAUUCAACUGAAGCUCUGUGCCAGAACUUGGAGGACUUGCAGUUGAUUUACAUCCAGGUGCUCUAUACCAAUUUGUACCAAUUCUCAAACCUCUCUGACAAAAUCCACAGUAGAUUUUCAGCAUGCCCUAAUAAGCAGCACUUUCUUAUGCAAAGGGAGGCUCCUCAGAUGAUCACUCAGACUAUAAUAAAGAUGAGGACUUUGUAUAGAUAUUUUAAACACUCUAAAUGAAAGGUAUUAGCAAAGUGUUGUGAAAUAAGGGCUUCACUAUAUGAAUUACUUACCUCUGAAAUGCAGUGUUAUUGUAGCAAAUUAACUAAAUCCAGAGGCACUUUCCCCUGCAGAUAUAUGCCUACAGUUGUGUCUAAAUGCAAUGCAGGAUGAAUAAAGUCCUGAGUGCCAUGUGGUAAAAAGCACUUUUCAUGUGGCAUAAGCACUUCAACCCAUGAAUUUGCAAUUAAAAUGAAUUUCAAGAGGCAUUUUACUGAGAUUACGUAAUGUAUUUGUUAAGUAUAUGCCAAAUAUUCACUGCUCAUUGGGCUUUCUGAGUCAGAAAAUUCUGUGUAUACUUUCCUUUACUAUGGACUAAAUAAGGAGCAACCACUUCUUAUCUGCUGCGGCUUGAAACAGAGUCAGAUAUUAUGAUUUGGCAACUUGUCAUGCUGAAACAACUCAGUCAUACAGCCACAGCCUGAGGGUGUAUACCGCCAUAACUGGAAUUUGCUGACGAAUUAUGAGAACACCCCUCAUAUGGACACCGCUCAUGCUUCAGACUAAAAUAUACAACACAAUUUAUAUAUGACAGCAUAUAUAUGACAUGCUUUUGCAUAGUCUUGCUACGUUUUCCAAAAUGUCUCAAUUUUUGGGUUACAGACUGUGACCCACUUCAAGUUCUUGCUGGGUAAAGCCAGAAGUUCUCUUUGUGUGUGUGUAAUCUUGUAAAAAUUGAUUCACAUUGGCCUGUUUCAACUUCAGAAGUCAGUCAGCAGGAAUGGCACCUCUAGUUCCCAGGAAGCAGAGAAGAGCUGAUGCUGUGUCCUUGAAAAUUUGCCCUGUAUGCCCAUCAGUGAUGGUGCGUGGCUGUGCUGAGCGCUUCAGUAACAGAGCUUUUUUCCCAAGUAUGGCUAUGAUGUCUUUGUUUAUAGAAUACUUUUCUAAACCAGGUUCAGCAUCAUGCCUACAAAAUUAGUAAUCACAUUUUUGGCAAGUAUUAGGUCAUACUAUCUGCAGAUUGUUCAUAGCUUGUUUAGGACUAAAUAAAAUUUGCUCUUUGUUCUGAGAUUAGUUUUCACUUCUACUUGGGCAGAGCUUCAGCUUUCUCAUUUAUCUGCCAAAUGUCACUUCACUGAGUCUAUCCUCCCACCCAAAAGAGGAAGCUCCUUCAAAGCUACAUUUGCUGGACUUGGAAAAUAACAUCUAAGGCUCCCUUAAAUAAUGACCAUAAAGAAUACUUCCGAGAUAGCAGACAUUAGUAUGAUGAUAUUAGUAUCAACCUCAGCUCUUUUGUUAUUCUUGUGUUUUGAAGAGCCUCAGGGAGGAUUGUAGGCACACCUUUUUCACUGGUGUCUUUUGUUGGCUGACCUGAAGGUAGAAGGUGCCCUAUCGGGCUAUAGUGAGUUUGUCUGGGGCUCUUCAUUCCAUCUGCUCUACUACUCUGCUAAGCGUUCCCAUUCCUCAAUAGAUGUGUACAAGCAGCACUCUGGGCUAGCUGUCACUCACUCGCUUUCUGAAUGCAGAGAAGAAAAGGAGCAAAUGAGGAGAGAACAGUGAGUGGGAAUCGUUUCCCUGCCUUCCUGCCCUUGUCAGGCACACAUUAAUUGUGACAGUGGUUUGAACAUCAAAGAAUGUAGACAUGAGAAGUAAAGAUGUGAGCCGACAGAAAGAGAGAAAGAGGAAAGAAUAGGUGUGGUGUUACAAGAGGAGGUGUGUGGUAGAUCUAAGGGCUUAACUUCCAUGAGGUAAUUAUAGAAGCAUAAACAAUAAAUCAGACUUUAUCUGGCAAACCUUUGACCAUACAAAAAAAGGAAGAUACAUCAGUGGGAUUAUAGGAUCUAGCUCUGUAAGGCAUGGGUUAUAGCCAUGCAGUUUUGGGCCCUCGGUUUCUCUUUGAGCAGCUUGAUAGCAAGGCAUGCAUCAAAACUGUUACUGAAAACAUGCUGUGGGUUUCUUGUAUCUUCAGCUGAAGGAGAAAGCUGUUACUGAUUACUGGCUACGCUGGUUGUAUUUCAGGGCUGGUCUUGUGUGGUGGUUUUCUUUUCAGCUCUGAAGUCAGUUAGCUGUGUGAUAACCUCCUUCUUCCCCACCAGGGAAGAUCUCCAAGAGUCCACUUCUGUGACAGAUCUGUGCAGUGGAAAGAACUAAGGUGGGAACAAAGGCUCUCCUUCUUUCCUUUUCCGCACCCCUAUCCCCUUCUCCUCCAUUUCUGCAGCACCAGAAUGAAAAUCAGGCUCCUUCACCCCUUCAUGCAUACUGCAAAAUCUGUAUCACCAUUGUCUAAUCAACAAAAUGAUUUGUAAAGAUUUCACUUUACCUUUGAUCUUGCAAAAUGAGAGUAGCUUUAAGAAAAGCCAGAUACUUUAAAGAUCACCACAUGGUUUUAAUAGCAUUUUCUACUUUGUUUCAUAACUUGAAUGAACAAGAUAUGAACAGUAUUCCUAUUGUCACCACAUUUCACUGUGUUAUCACGUUUGCUAAUAUUUCCUAGUUAAAAAAAAUUUGGCAGCUAUUAUGAAGCUGAUGUAACUUAAUAUCUGCUUCUAGCUCCAUCAGUAGAGCCUGUUCCAAAGCUUACUGAAGCUGCUAGAAACUUGCUCUCUGGCUUCAGUCAGUUUGAGAUCUGAAGUACAGAAAGGGAAAUGACAUGCUCGGAAGGUUUCCCACCUUUCAGAUCCCAUUUCUUUUCCCUCUUCAGCUAUGCAAAAGCUCUCACCACAUUGCAGAGCACAGUGUGGUUUGGAUGCUGUAUGCACAUAUGUGAACAUGAUGGGUUUAUGGGUGUAUUUUUGCUGACAAACUGAAAUCAUGGGAGAAAGAGAGAGGAAGUACUUUGUUUCAGAUUUGAAGUUACAUUUUUGAAUUGUAAAUAGAGUUUCUGAGAAGUUAAACAAAAAUAAAGAUGUUUUCAUUUCUUUGCCACUGAAAAUGCACAGAAUAAAAAUUGAGAGGAGGAGUGGAGAAAGAUGACAUCCUGGACUCUUCCGUUUUGUUUUCUCCCCAUUACUGCCAUGCUCCUUCACUUGCAUGACAGGGGUGAGUCUAAACUAGUGCACAGAUUGCUCUUCCACUUCAUAGCCAGGCAGCUGCUUCCUGCCCUGAUAACUAAUUUCAUUUAUUUCCUUUUCAGAAGACGGCCUGCCCUGGGUGGCAAUUACAGUUGGUUAAUUUUGGCACAAUGUGAUUAAAAGCAGAUUGAUAUAAAUCACUGAACAGUGUAGCUUAUGAAAAUGCAAGUUAAAGUAGCGCCCCAACCACAGUGCUGUCAUGAGAGAAGCUGAAAGCCAGAUGUUGGUCUAAUCAUGAUAGAAAUAAUCUAGUAGCAGACUUUAUCCUCUGGAGCUUGAAAGCCUUACCUAAUGGUUUUUGUCAGCCAGAUACCUCAGUGUUGCAAUACAUAUUGAAUGUUUUAGAGGAUCACAAGUUGGUUUGUUUUCUUGGCUUAUAGAUGGAUAUUCUGGGAGUAGCUUUGUGUACACGAUCUGCGGGAGCCCCAGGUGAAAAGCACCUAGUAGGGGAUAAGAGACAUUCUGAGUAUCUAAGGUGUCCAAGUGUCUUGGACACUCAAAAUCUUACCUUAUUUUAAAGUAACCUAUGUGUGGUUGUGUCAUUAGAAUAAUGAACAAAUAAUGAGUGCUUCUGGAAUCACCAGAGGUAGAUAUAUGUGUGUACACUGAGUGUAAUUAAAACUGCAAACAGAUCCUUCCUGCAUCUCACUGCAUUUAUCAAGGAAAAACUACAUUAAUUGAAAAUAGUGCCUGUAAGUUAAAGUCUUUAUUUUUGGAUCAGCAGAGAUGUGAUAGGAUGAGUUCACCUUAAGUUAAAUGUGAAUGCCCCGAUUACAAGCUUGUUUCAGGCUCUGUAUGGCUUAAAAUGUGAGCCUGUUCUGGCUACUGUGCACCCAUAGGUGAUCUCUGCAGGCUGAAGAAUAAGUGUGGGGGCUCCUGAGCCAGCAUCCUGCCCAACACUUUCAUCUGGCAUGCUGUCAUCUCCUCUGAGAGGCCCUGCAUGAUAUUGAGGUGACACAAGGUGCAGCUAGGGAGAGAUGAAGCUAUGGUCCACAAUGACACAGUUCAUAUGUACUAACAGACACCAUGUGCUACUGCUAUCAGUUUUCAUACCAGAUUAUUCACUGGGCUCUGCAAUAAGAAAAUGAUAGAAAAGCCAUUAAUUUGGCUGGUGAUUAAGCUGGACAAGGAAACCCUAUAAAGACCAACAUCUGCUUUCUAAAAUAGAAUAGUCCAGAUGGAAGGGACCUACUAAGGUCAUCAAGUCCAGCUACUGUGGAUGGCAUAAAAACAUUUGGUUCAGGGACAAUUUAUGCCCUCCAAAAAUGUCUUUUUUCUAGGGACAAACCCUCCACUUCUUUCAAAGGUAUUUUGCACCUGGUAUGUGCAGUCUACAUUUUAUAACAUUUUUAACAAAAGAAAAAUGUAAGAAGAGGGAACUGCUUCUUUGUUUUGCUUGAGACUUGUGCCAGAACAGUCUCUAAGGAAUUGACGGUGCCCUGAUCAGAUAGAAAUAAAUCAUGGGGACACUAUUUUAUAUCCUUAUGUGUCUCUGUGCAAAUGCAUUUGGAGAUGGUGAUGUGAAUGUGAAAAAAUAACAUUUGUGGAGAUAUGGAAAUGAAGAGGGAGGAAAAAAGAGGAAAAGAGAAGGGGAGCAAGCUGCUGAGAGCACAGCCACUCAGCCAGCUACCUGCAUCAGACAGUGACCAAAGCCUCUGCCCAAGACAGUCUUUGUAUUCUAUGAUAUGAAUUUUCUUCAACAGUAGAGCACAAUUUUCCUGAACUCUCUUUUUCUUUUCCUACCAAAAAGGAUGUUUUGGAGAAUCUUUGCUGACUGUCACAUUGCAAUUACUGCAGUGCGGAUGGCAAAGUUUGUGGGAAGGAGGAAUACUGAAGAAGAGUUAAAAAUUAAGGCAACUUGUUUGGGUUUUUCGUUGUUGUUUUUAUAUAUAACAUAUGCAGAUCUGUUGAGGUUUUUUUUUUUUCUUCAUUUUAAGAAAAGCUUCAAAAUUAGGAUAGAAAAAUGAUUUUUUUCUCAUUCCCAGUCUUUUGUUUUAAGCAUCUGUGCUUUGUUUUAAUCAUGGAUGUGCAUGAUCAAGAAAUUACACUGAGAUCUGCUCCCAUUCCAUGGAACACUCAGAGCAAAACCUCUAUGGUUCUUCAGAGUAACCUUCUCUUGCACUGGGCUUCACAUCAUAUACUACUUAAAUCUGAGCACACACACUUUCAGAGUCAAGGCUUUACAAGGUCUGGACUGUUUCUUUCUUUGAUGAAUAGUAUAUGGUGCCAAAAUUUGCCAGAUCCUGCCUGUACAAAACAGGGGCUUAGAAUUAACAUUGUAUGUGUUUAAUGGCAGAAAAAAAAAAACAGACUUGGUCUUCUGGUGGAAGGGAGUCUUAUGCACAACAGUAUCUCUGGAUUGUAUUUGUUGCUUUCACAGACAUAAUGACUUUUCCAUGUGUUUGCUGCUGCUGAAAUUGCCAUUAAAAGAACUACGUUGAUGGUAUCAAAUUCUUGUACUUUUGUGGUAACCUUGUUCAAACAAAGCAAGAAACUUCACGCUUUUUCAGAAGCUGUACCCUUGACACAAAGAGAUACGGAAAAAUAGAGAAAGGUGAUGAGCUAUUCUCAAAUCGAGAAUAUCUAAGCCAGUAACUUAAUGCUGGCUUAACACUGUUUUGUUUGUCCUUAUUCCCCUGUAAUCAGAGAAGACUGCAGAUUCCUAGAAAUCCAUCAGUAUGGCUCAUUGCUGGUAUGGCACAGUGGUGGCACUAUGCAAGAUUUCCAACAGUGCCAACCAUGUGUUGUGUGUCUGUUCAGCAGAAGCACUGGUGGGACAGUAAAAUGCUUGCUUGAGUCAAGAUAAUGUCAGUUGCUUAUGCUCCUUAAAAAUCUACUGGUGCUAAGAAAAUGUUGCUCUAAUCAUCUGAACGUUGCUGCUUUGAAAAAGUAUGAAUAUGAAAUCCCACAUAUGUGAUAAUGAUUUUGAGAAAGCAAUGAUCACUGCAACUAAAGCAUUUGCAUCUGUUAAAAGCACAGCUUGCUCUUUCACUUGUGUCAAAGCUGCUGGCACAGAAUUCAAAGUACUGGAUUGGCAACUCUAUCAGGAAGCAAGUGCAGCACAAAGCCAUAAUAGCUGUCUUGGUUUGCUUUUGUUAUCUAAAAAAUUUCAAGUGCUUUGGAUAACAUAAGGUGCCAUAUAACUAUGGAAGCUGUUGGGCAGCAGCUUGACAACCAUAUGCCUAUAUCUAUAAUGUAUGCACAGCCUCAUCUUUAACUACAUGUUUUCCUUUAGCAGCUGUGGCAACAGUGGUGAGUUCAAACAAUUCCCACACAGUGAAAAUGCAGCUGGAGGCAACGGCUUCUCUGCUGAGGGCACAGAAGACACAAGCACUCCGGUCACUUAAAGACUUUCAGAGGGGCCAAAGUAACCUCAGCGCUUACUGUCUGAUCUAUGCCAACUGUGUUGCAAAGAUUCCCAUCCUAACAUUAACCAGCUCACUGUGAAGUCAUGCACAGUGCAGAAAGGCAGGGAUAUUGGAGGUCAGUUCAGCACCGUGGUGAAGCAGCACUCCUGCUCCUGGUGCUGGUGCUAAUGCAUGUGGGUCACCAGGGCUAUCUCUGCACUGCUGCCAGGGUUAAGCCAGUUCAUGGUUCUCUGCACCUGUGGAGUAAACCUUUUUUUUUUUUCUGAAAACUCCUUUUUUGCCUUUCUCAGACAGUGAACAUGGAAGAACUGAGACAGUAUGGGAGCAGCUGCAAAGGGUAUCCAAGCUCAGCUAGGAGAAGGUAUGUGUGGCUGGCCAUGAGGGUGAAGAAAAUUCAGGCAACUUUCUUUUGGAAAGGACAAGCAAAGUCUCUCCAUGUCAGAAAUUUAGAGGUUUAUUCUGUAUGUUGCCUUGUGUUUCAUGUAAUAAAAUCCAGACCACAUACAGCACCAAAUCCUGCAGUUGUCAUUGUCUUAGAAGUCCUAUUCAAAGGUUAACUAACCACUAGGUGUUCCCCUGACAAAGAUAAAAUCUUUGUGUUCCAAACUUUCUGAAGAGUCUUUCAUUACAAUAAACAUCUCCUGCCCAGUAGCUGAGGCUUGUUGAGUAUAAAGAGCCUUUGUCAGGGAUGGAGCACAGCAGAGCUUCCUGAGGAUUUCUUUCCACUCUAAAACUGAGGUGGGUCUGUCCUCCCCACUCAUUUUAAUUUGUUCAUUUUUUCCUAGGAAACAAGUAUUGCUCUGGUUUUCAUUUUCCACAGGCUGCUUGAGUAUCUUGGAGUCUGGAGCUGAGGGGAAAGGAAAGGUUGUUAUCCUUAGUGGUGUUGCCUUUUAUCAUCAAUACUGGCUGCUAGUAUAGAAGAGUAGUAUACCAGCCAAGGGUAUAGCAGUCACUGCUACACAUGUAGACCAUGAGGACUGCUCAGCAACAGAGGCUGUGCAGGACUUGCGAUGUGUUCCCCACUUCUCUCUGAAAUACUUCAUAGUACAUCUGGAAUACAUGUUUUCACUUUUAAAAUCUGUCCUUUUACAAAUAAAAUAGUGUGGAAUCUGCCCAGAUAAUUCUCAUUGUAGCAGCACUAGUAUUGCUUCAUUGUUAAUCUCUUUUCAGCUGUGGCAAUUGUUACUCCUCUCCUCUCCUCUCCUCUCCUCUCCUCUCCUCUCCUCUCCUCUCCUCUCCUCUCCUCUCC